rnacentral:rRNA from 1 species
UACGGAGGGGACUAGCGUUGUUCGGAAUUACUGGGCGUAAAGCGCACGUAGGCGGAUUUGUAAGUCAGGGGUGAAAUCCCGGGGCUCAACCUCGGAACUGCCUUUGAUACUGCAAAUCUCGAGUCCGGAAGAGGUGAGUGGAAUUCCUAGUGUAGAGGUGAAAUUCGUAGAUAUUAGGAAGAACACCAGUGGCGAAGGCGGCUCACUGGUCCGGUACUGACGCUGAGGCGCGAAAGCGUGGGGAGCAAAC